rnacentral:rRNA from 1 species
GACGAACGCUGGCGGCGUGCCUAAUACAUGCAAGUAGAACGCUGAAGGAGGAGCUUGCUUCUCUGGAUGAGUUGCGAACGGGUGAGUAACGCGUAGGUAACCUGCCUGGUAGCGGGGGAUAACUAUUGGAAACGAUAGCUAAUACCGCAUAAUAGUAGAUGUCGCAUGACAUUUGCUUAAAAGGUGCAAUUGCAUCACUACCAGAUGGACCUGCGUUGUAUUAGCUAGUUGGUGAGGUAACGGCUCACCAAGGCAACGAUACAUAGCCGACCUGAGAGGGGGAUCGGCCACACUGGGACUGAGACACGGCCCAGACUCCUACGGGAGGCAGCAGUAGGGAAUCUUCGGCAAUGGACGGAAGUCUGACCGAGCAACGCCGCGUGAGGGAAGAAGGUUUUCGGAUCGUAAAGCUCGGUUGUAAGAGAAGAACGAGUGUGAGAGUGGAAAGUUCACACUGUGACGGUAUCUUACCAGAAAGGGACGGCUAACUACGUG